rnacentral:rRNA from 1 species
UACGUAGGCAGCGAGCGUUGUUCGGAAUUACUGGGCGUAAAGAGUGUGUAGGCGGUGCUCUAAGUUCGGUGUGAAAUCUCCCGCUUAACUGGGAGGGUGCGCCGGAAACUGGAGUGCUCGAGCGUGGGAGAGGAAAGCGGAAUUCCUGGUGUAGCGGUGAAAUGCGUAGAUAUCAGGAGGAACACCUAUUGCGAAGGCAGCUCGCUGGGACGUAACUGACGCUGAGGCGCGACAGCGUGGGGAGCAAACAGG